AUUGAACGCUGGCGGUAGGCCUAACACAUGCAAGUCGAACGGCAGCACAGUAAGAGCUUGCUCUUACGGGUGGCGAGUGGCGGACGGGUGAGGAAUACAUCGGAAUCUACUUUUUCGUGGGGGAUAACGUAGGGAAACUUACGCUAAUACCGCAUACGACCUACGGGUGAAAGCAUGGGAUCUUCGGACCUUGCGCGAUUGAAUGAGCCGAUGUCGGAUUAGCUAGUUGGCGGGGUAAAGGCCCACCAAGGCGACGAUCCGUAGCUGGUCUGAGAGGAUGAUCAGCCACACUGGAACUGAGACACGGUCCAGACUCCUACGGGAGGCAGCAGUGGGGAAUAUUGGACAAUGGGCGCAAGCCUGAUCCAGCCAUACCGCGUGGGUGAAGAAGGCCUUCGGGUUGUAAAGCCCUUUUGUUGGGAAAGAAAAGCAGCAGGUUAAUACCCCGCUGUUCUGACGGUACCCAAAGAAUAAGCACCGGCUAACUUCGUG
rnacentral:rRNA from 1 species